ACAGGAUGUGAUUGAAAAGGUAAGGAGGAAAGGUCAUUUUUAUUUUUUUAAUAAUAAAUGGAAAUGAGAAAAAAAGAAAUACAUGCACUAGCUAAUUCUAAACUUACGUUUCCUUCCUACUUCUUCUAUGUGUA
rnacentral:ribozyme from 14 species